rnacentral:rRNA from 1 species
GAUGAACGCUGGCGGCGUGCCUAAUACAUGCAAGUCGAGCGAACAGACGAGGAGCUUGCUCCUCUGACGUUAGCGGCGGACGGGUGAGUAACACGUGGAUAACCUACCUAUAAGACUGGGAUAACUUCGGGAAACCGGAGCUAAUACCGGAUAAUAUAUUGAACCGCAUGGUUCAAUAGUGAAAGACGGUUUUGCUGUCACUUAUAGAUGGAUCCGCGCCGCAUUAGCUAGUUGGUAAGGUAACGGCUUACCAAGGCAACGAUGCGUAGCCGACCUGAGAGGGUGAUCGGCCACACUGGAACUGAGACACGGUCCAGACUCCUACGGGAGGCAGCAGUAGGGAAUCUUCCGUAAUGGGCGAAAGCCUGACGGAGCAACGCCGCGUGAGUGAUGAAGGUCUUCGGAUCGUAAAACUCUGUUAUUAGGGAAGAACAAAUGUGUAAGUAACUAUGCACGUCUUGACGGUACCUAAUCAGAAAGCCACGGCUAGCUACGUG